rnacentral:rRNA from 1 species
CGCUGGCGGCGUGCCUAUACAUGCAAGUUGAGCGCUGAAGGUUGGUACUUGUACCAACUGGUAUGAGCAGCGAACGGGUGAGUAACGCGUGGGGAAUCUGCCUUUGAGCGGGGGACAACAUUUGGAAACGAAUGCUAAUACCGCAUAAAAACUUUAAACACAAGUUUUAAGUUUGAAAGAUGCAAUUGCAUCACUCAAAGAUGAUCCCGCGUUGUAUUAGCUAGUUGGUGAGGUAAAGGCUCACCAAGGCGAUGAUACAUAGCCGACCUGAGAGGGUGAUCGGCCACAUUGGGACUGAGACACGGCCCAAACUCCUACGGGAGGCAGCAGUAGGGAAUCUUCGGCAAUGGACGAAAGUCUGACCGAGCAACGCCGCGUGAGUGAAGAAGGUUUUCGGAUCGUAAAACUCUGUUGGUAGAGAAGAACGUUGGUGAGAGUGGAAAGCUCAUCAAGUGACGGUAACUACCCAGAAAGGGACGGCUAACUACGUGCCAGCAGCCGCGGUAAUACGUAGGUCCCGAGCGUUGUCCGGAUUUAUUGGGCGUAAAGCGAGCGCCAGGUGGCUUAUUAAGUCUGGUGUAAAAGGCAGUGGCUC